rnacentral:rRNA from 1 species
UUCUCAGCGGCGGACGGGUGAGUAACACGUGGGCAACCUGCCCUACAGACUGGGAUAACUCCGGGAAACCGGAGCUAAUACCGGGUAAUACAUAGCAUCGCAUGAUGCAACGUUGAAAGUUGGCCUUUGGCUAACACUGUAGGAUGGGCCCGCGGCGCAUUAGCUAGUUGGUAAGGUAACGGCUUACCAAGGCCACGAUGCGUAGCCGACCUGAGAGGGUGAUCGGCCACACUGGGACUGAGACACGGCCCAGACUCCUACGGGAGGCAGCAGUAGGGAAUCUUCCGCAAUGGACGAAAGUCUGACGGAGCAACGCCGCGUGAGUGACGAAGGCCUUCGGGUCGUAAAGCUCUGUUGUUAGGGAAGAACAAGUACCGUUCGAAUAGGGCGGUACCUUGACGGUACCUAACCAGAAAGCCACGGCUAACUACGUGCCAGCAGCCGCGGUAAUACGUAGGUGGCAAGCGUUGUCCGGAAUUAUUGGGCGUAAAGCGCGCGCAGGCGGUCUCUUAAGUCUGAUGUGAAAGCCCACGGCUCAACCGUGGAGGGCCAUUGGAAACUGGGGGACUUGAGUGCAGAAGAGGAGAGUGGAAUUCCACGUGUAGCGGUGAAAUGCGUAGAUAUGUGGAGGAACACCAGUGGCGAAGGCGGCUCUCUGGUCUGUAACUGACGCUGAGGCGCGAAAGCGUGGGGAGCGAACAGGAUUAGAUACCCUGGUAGUCCACGCCGU